rnacentral:rRNA from 1 species
UACGUAGGGUCCGAGCGUUGUCCGGAGUUACUGGGCGUAAAGCGCGCGCAGGCGGCGGUGCUGGCCCGGCGUGAAAGCCCCCGGCUCAACCGGGGAGAGUCGUCGGGGACCGCACCGCUUGAGGGCGGUAGGGGCUGGUGGAAUGCCUGGUGUAGUGGUGAAAUGCGCAGAUAUCAGGAGGAACACCAAUUGCGAAGGCAGCUCGCUGGGACGUUACUGACGCUGAGACGCGAAAGCGUGGGGAGCAAACAGG